CUUGGUCAUUUAGAGGAAGUAAAAGUCGUAACAAGGUCUCCGUUGGUGAACCAGCGGAGGGAUCAUUACCGAGUUUACAACUCCCAAACCCCUGUGAACAUACCUGUUUUGUUGCUUCGGCGGUGCCCUCGCUCUCGCGGCGAGGCCCGCCAGAGGACCCAAACAAACUCUUUGAUUUUGAUCUAGGAUUAUACUUCUGAGUGAAACAAAAAAUAAAAUCAAAACUUUCAACAACGGAUCUCUUGGUUCUGGCAUCGAUGAAGAACGCAGCGAAAUGCGAUAAGUAAUGUGAAUUGCAGAAUUCAGUGAAUCAUCGAAUCUUUGAACGCACAUUGCGCCCGCCAGUAUUCUGGCGGGCAUGCCUGUUCGAGCGUCAUUUCAACCCUCAAGCUCCGGCUUGGUGUUGGGGAUCGGCAGCCCGGCUUCGCGCCGACGCCGUCCCCCAAAUGCAGUGGCGGUCACGCUGCAGCUUCCUAUGCGUAGUAGCACACCUCGCACUGGAGAGCAGCGCGGCCACGCCGUAAAACCCCCUACUUUUUGUGGUUGACCUCGAAUCAGGUAGGACUACCCGCUGAACUUAAGCAUAUCAAUAAGCGGAGGA
rnacentral:rRNA from 1 species